CCCUGUGUGGUGCAAACAGUUAACAUGUUCAGCUGCUACCUGAAAAUUUGGAGGUUCAAGUCCCCCCAGUGGCA
rnacentral:tRNA from 1 species